UGUUAGUUUGGUAUAGACAUUUUUGACAUAGUUUAUGUAUACCUAUUAAUAAACAUUAAUAGAAAAAAACCACAUCAUUUUGUAGAUACAUUCCGGAAAAGACGCAUCUGACUAAAGUAUUACGUGGAUGUUGCAGUUGUGAAUUCAAAAAAUCAUGUAGAUUACCUUUGUUCUCAAUAGAAUUAAAAAAAUCGAAACCAUAAUAAGUUUUAGCCAAACCCUUAAGAGCUUUUUUAACGGUGACCUGAAAAUAAAUAUUUUGAUUUACAUUAUCAUUGAUAUAAUAUUAAUACUGAAUUUGAGAGUAAUAACCCUCGCUUAAGAAUCCAUUGAUUUGGACGAAUAAAUUAAUUCUUGUUUAAAUAUAAGUAUAAUUUAGAAAAUUACAAUAAUUACUUUUUAUAUCAAAAACCUUUUAAUUUAGUAAAAACAAAUAAAGUAAUAACUUACAAAUUGUAAACAACAAUAUACAAAUUUAAUUAAACAAUAGAUAACCGAAUGUAGACUUAGCACCCACAGCCUAUAAUAGAGGUACGAUCAUUUUCAAAGGUUAGAGGUUAUAGUUCAUACACCCUUUGGUGUUUAAAAACAAAUAUAAGCUUUUUAAUAAUCG